UGCCGGAGCGGCUGAACGGACCGGUCUCGAAAACCGUUGCGGGGGUAACUCCGCCGAGGGUUCGAAUCCCUCN
rnacentral:tRNA from 3 species